rnacentral:rRNA from 1 species
AGAGUUUGAUCCUGGCUUAGGGACGAACGCUGGCGGCGUGCCUAACACAUGCAAGUCGAGCGAUGAAACCCUUCGGGGGUGAAUUAGCGGCGGACGGGUGAGUAACACGUGGGUAACCUGCCUUAUAGAGGGGGAUAGCCUUCCGAAAGGAAGAUUAAUACCGCAUGAAAUGUUUUUAUCGCAUGGUAGAAACAUCAAAGGAGUAAUCCGCUAUAAGAUGGACCCGCGGCGCAUUAGCUAGUUGGUGAGGUAACGGCCCACCAAGGCGACGAUGCGUAGCCGACCUGAGAGGGUGAUCGGCCACAUUGGAACUGAGACACGGUCCAGACUCCUACGGGAGGCAGCAGGUGGGGAAUAUUGCGCAAUGGGGGGAAAAACCCCUGACGCAGCAACGCCGCGUGAAUGAAGAAGGCCUUAGGGUUGUAAAGUUCUGUUUUCUGGGACGAUAAUGACGGUACCAGAGGAGGAAGCCACGGCUAACUACGUGCCAGCCGCCGC